AUUCUACCCAUGUGGGGAAGGAUGAGAAGCUUCGACUAAGGUUCGAUUCGAGCGCAGCGAGAAAGCGUUGCCGCAGGCAACGA
rnacentral:sRNA from 1 species